UACAGAGGUCCCAAGCGUUGUUCGGAUUCACUGGGCGUAAAGGGCGCGUAGGUGGCGAGGUAAGUCGGAUGUGAAAGCUCGGAGCUCAACUCCGAAAUGGCAUUGGAAACUACCUUGCUCGAGGGUUGGAGGGGGGACUGGAAUUCUCGGUGUAGCAGUGAAAUGCGUAGAUAUCGAGAGGAACACCAGUGGCGAAGGCGAGUCCCUGGACACAUAUUGACGCUGAGGUGCGAAAGCGUGGGGAGCAAACAGG
rnacentral:rRNA from 1 species